CUACGGGAGGCUCCAGUGAGGAAUAUUGCACAAUGGGGGGAACCCUGACGCAGCAACGCCGCGUGGAGGAUGACGCAUUUCGGUGUGUAAACUCCAUUUAUACGUCAAGAAAAUGACGGUAGCAUAUGAAUAAGCACCGGCUAACUCCGUGCCAGCAGCCGCGGUAAUACGGAGGGUGCAAGCGUUACUCGGAAUCACUGGGCGUAAAGGACGCGUAGGCGGGUUGGAAAGUCAGGUGUGAAAUCCUACAGCUUAACUGUAGAACUGCACUUGAAACUUCUAAUCUAGAGUAUGGGAGGGGGAGAUGGAAUUAGUGGUGUAGGGGUAAAAUCCGUAGAUAUCACUAGGAAUACCUAAAGCGAAGGCGAUCUCCUGGAACAUUACUGACGCUAAGGCGUGAAAGCGUGGGGAGCAAACAGGAUUAGAUACCCGCGUAGUC
rnacentral:rRNA from 1 species